AUUGAACGCUGGCGGCAGGCCUAACACAUGCAAGUCGGGCGCGCGGGGGACGGGUGGGUUAUGUAUGGGUCUCUGCCUGAUGGAGGGCGAUAACUACUGGAAACGAUAGCUACAUCCGCAUACCCUCGGCUGAACCCAUAUGGGAUGAGCUUGUAGUUGAGGUAACGGCUCACCUAGGCGACGAUCCCUAGCUGGUUUGAGAGGAUGAACAGCCACACUGGGACUGAGACACGGCCCAGACUCCUACGGGAGGCAGCAGUGGGGAAUAUUGCACAAUGGGCGAAAGCCUGAUACAGCCAUGCCGCGUGUAUGAAGAAGGCCUUCGGGUUGUAAAGUACUUUCAGUCGGGAGGCGUUACCUACAGAAUAAGCACCGGCUAACUCCGUGCCAGCAGCCGCGGUAAUUC
rnacentral:rRNA from 1 species